AGUGAACGCUGGCGGUAGGCCUAACACAUGCAAGUCGAACGGCAGCACAGUAAAAGCUUGCUCUUACGGGUGGCGAGUGGCGGACGGGUGAGGAAUACAUCGGAAUCUACUUUUUCGUGGGGGAUAACGUAGGGAAACUUACGCUAAUACCGCAUACGACCUACGGGUGAAAGCAGGGGAUCUUCGGACCUUGCGCGAUUGAAUGAGCCGAUGUCGGAUUAGCUAGUUGGCGGGGUAAAGGCCCACCAAGGCGACGAUCCGUAGCUGGUCUGAGAGGAUGAUCGGCCACACUGGAACUGAGACACGGUCCAGACUCCUACGGGAGGCAGCAGUGGGGAAUAUUGGACAAUGGGCGCAAGCCUGAUCCAGCCAUACCGCGUGGGUGAAGAAGGCCUUCGGGUUGUAAAGCCCUUUUGUUGGGAAAGAAAAGCAGCAGGUUAAUACCCCGCUGUUCUGACGGUACCCAAAGAAUAAGCACCGGCUAACUUCGUG
rnacentral:rRNA from 1 species